CUAGGAUUAGAUACCCUAUUAUUAUAAAUGUAAAAUUAAGCUAGAUUAGUAAUAGUUAUGUUCUUGAAAAUUAAAAAUUUUGGCGGUUUUUUAGUCUAUUCAGAGGAACCUGUUCUUUAAUCGAUAGUCCACGAUUUAAUUAACCUUUAUUAUUAAUUUGUAUAUCGUCGUAGUUUGAAUAUUUUAAAAGAAUAUUAAUAUUCAAAAUUUAUAAUUUAAAGAAAAUCAGAUCAAGGUAUAGUUUAUAUAAAGGUAGAAAUGGGUUACAUUAAUUUUAAUUAAGGAUAAUUUAUUGAAAAUAAAUUUGAAUAAGGAUUUGAAAGUAAUUUUUUAAAAAUUUAAAAAAUGAUUUUAGCUCUAAAAUAUGCACAUAUCGCCCCGUCGCUU
rnacentral:rRNA from 1 species